CCUACGGGUGGCAGCAGUGGGGAAUAUUGCACAAUGGGGGAAACCCUGAUGCAGCAACGCCGCGUGAGUGAAGAAGGACUUCGGUAUGUAAAGCUCUAUCAGCAGGGAAGAGAAUGACGGUACCUGACUAAGAAGCCCCGGAUAACACCGUGCCAGCAGCCGAGGGAAUACGUAGGGGGCAAGCGUUAUCCGGAUGUACUGGGUGUAAAGGGAGCGGAGACGGCUGUACAAGUCUGAAGUGAAAGCCCGUGGCUCAACCGCGGAACUGCUUUGGAAACUGUAAAGCUUGAGUACUGGAGAGGCAGGCGGAAUUCCUAGUGUAGCGGUGAAAUGCGUAGAUAUUAGGAGGAACACCAGUGGCGAAGGCGGCCUGCUGGACAGAAACUGACGUUGAGGCUCGAAAGCGUGGGGAGCAAACAGGAUUAGAUACCCGAGUAGUC
rnacentral:rRNA from 1 species